rnacentral:rRNA from 1 species
UGUGAUGGGGAGCGAAAUUUAGUAGCGAAGUAGCUGAUUUCACACUGUCAAGAAAAGUCUCUAUCGAGGUUAAAGGUACCCGUACCGCAAACCGACACAGGUGGGUGAGGAGAGUAUCCUAAGGCCAGCGAGAGAACUGUUGUUAAGGAACUCGGCAAAAGGACCCCGUAACUUAGGGAUAAGGGGUGCCACCAUCAGGUGGCAGCAGAGAAUAGGCCCAAGCGACUGUUUACCAAAAACAUAGGUUUCUGCUAAGUCGCAAGACGAUGUAUAGGAGCUGACGCCUGCCCGGUGCUGGAAGGUUAAGGGGAUCUGUUAGAGCAAUCGAAGCAGUGAACUUAAGCCCCAGUAAACGGCGGCCGUAACUAUAACGGUCCUAAGGUAGCGAAAUUCCUUGUCGGGUAAGUUCCGACCCGCACGAAAGGCGUAACGAUUUGGG